GACGUGUUCCGUGGUGGGCACAGGAGCUGGAGAGAGAGGCUUCAUUUCCACAGUGGAGAGUCAAUCGACGGACCCCUCAAGCACCUGCUACGAAGGCAUUGUGUAUGUGAAGAAUGUGAACCCAUUCCCUCCCGUUCCUGAGCAGCUGGAGUCCGGGCUGCUGAGCAAACCUUUCCGCGGUGCGGGAGAGGAGGAUGGCAGGUGCAUUCUAAUAAGCAGAGAGUGCCGGUGGACGGGAGGAGCGGCGGCCAGCCCAGGUGACGUCAGCUCACAGAUGUUGCUGGCAGGUAAGUGGGGCAGAGCUGCCUGCAGCCGCAGUGGCUCCAGCCGCGCCUGGUAAGGAGGCAGGUGGGGUGCCGGGGAGGUUCCCGCACACCUGGAAGUUUGCACAGUGGAGGGGCCCUGCAUUAGCAUGCCAGAAA
rnacentral:lncRNA from 1 species